rnacentral:rRNA from 1 species
CUAGCGACUUCAGAGUUUGAUCCUGGCUCAGGAUGAACGCUGGCGGCGUGCCUAACACAUUCAAGUCGAACGGAGUUAUUACGAAUGAAGUUUUCGGAUGGAUUUUGUUUUAACUUAGUGGCGGACGGGUGAGUAACGCGUGAGCAACCUGCCUUUGCAUUCGGGAUAACAGCCGGAAACGACUGCUAAUACCGAAUAACGUAUACGAGUUGCAUGUCUUGUAUACCAAAGAUCCGUCGUGCAAAGAUGGGCUCGCGUCUGAUUAGAUAGUUGGUGAGGUAACGGCUCACCAAGUCGACGAUCAGCAGCCGGACUGAGAGGUUGAACGGCCACAUUGGAACUGAGAUACGGUCCAG